UCUUAUGGAUGAGCAAAGAAAAUGGUUUUUUUGAGAUGGAAUCUACUCCUGGUGAAAAUGCUGGGAA
rnacentral:pre_miRNA from 1 species